UAGAGUUUGAUCCUGGCUCAGGAUGAACGCUAGCUACAGGCUUAACACAUGCAAGUCGAGGGGAAACGACAUUGGAAGCUUGCUUCCGGUGGGCGUCGACCGGCGCACGGGUGAGUAACGCGUAUCCAACCUGCCCACCACUUGGGAAUAACCUUGCGAAAGUAAGACUAAUGCCCAAUGACAUUGAGUGCAGACAUCUAAUCUCAAUUAAAGAUUCAUCGGUGAUGGAUGGGGAUGCGUCCGAUUAGCUUGUUGGCGGGGUAACGGCCCACCAAGGCGACGAUCGGUAGGGGUUCUGAGAGGAAGGUCCCCCACAUUGGAACUGAGACACGGGUCCAAACUCCUACGGGAGGCAGCAGUGAGGAAUAUUGGUCAAUGGGCGAGAGCCUGAACCAGCCAAGUAGCGUGCAGGAUGACGGCCCUAUGGGUUGUAAACUGCUUUUAUAAGGGAAUAAAGUGAGAGUCGUGACUCUUUUUGCAUGUACCUUAUGAAUAAGGACCGGCUAAUUCCGUGCCAGCAGCCGCGGUAAUACGGAAGGUCCGGGCGUUAUCCGGAUUUAUUGGGUUUAAAGGGAGCGUAGGCCGCAGGUUAAGCGUGUUGUGAAAUGUAGGGGCUCAACCUCUGCACUGCAGCGCGAACUGGCUUGCUUGAGUACGCACAACGUGGGCGGAAUUCGUGGUGUAGCGGUGAAAUGCUUAGAUAUCACGAAGAACUCCGAUUGCGAAGGCAGCUCACGGGAGCGCAACUGACGCUGAAGCUCGAAAGUGCGGGUAUCGAACAGGAUUAGAUACCCUGGUAGUCCGCACGGUAAACGAUGGAUGCCCGCUGUUGGCUUGAAUUAGUCAGCGGCCAAGCGAAAGCAUUAAGCAUCCCACCUGGGGAGUACGCCGGCAACGGUGAAACUCAA
rnacentral:rRNA from 1 species